UUAUCGCCCGCGUCAUUUCGGCUCGAAAAGGCCGGCUUUGCGCAUGGGCUGCAGGCUCCUGCUCAGGGGGCGCUCGGCGUGCUUGAUGGGGGGCGGCAGGUGGCGGCCUGUGCCUGACCCCUGUGAUGCUCAGCCCCCAGCCCUUCCCCCUAAAGGCAUCUACUCAUCGAGCUCUAAUGGCCCGAGUUAAUUAAGGAACUUCCAAGGGACUCGCGAGGCAGGGUAAUGCAGCUGCUCCCCAUUUAUCUGGGCUUGGGACCGGCACGAAGAAACACACUGGUUUGUGCAUCCGCUGUGGCUGCGUUACCAUAUUGAAGAGAUGAUGACAUACAUGAAAUACCAACGGGUUGCCAGUUUUGAAAAGACCUUUCCUAUGCAAUAACACGGUGUGGCCAGGUGCAGGAAUGACAAGCUGCUGGGAAAAAAAAUCUGUGGUACCAACUGGGUUGUCCCAUUUAAUAAACGUCAGAAAAUAAAUAAAAGAACUGCUGCUUAGGCAUUGUUGCACUUGUCUCUGUGUUGCAAAACACAGAAAAUUAAAGCUUGGUUUUGUA